rnacentral:rRNA from 1 species
GAUGAACGCUGGCGGCGUGCCUAAUACAUGCAAGUCGAGCGAACAGACGAGGAGCUUGCUCCUCUGACGUUAGCGGCGGACGGGUGAGUAACACGUGGAUAACCUACCUAUAAGACUGGGAUAACUUCGGGAAACCGGAGCUAAUACCGGAUAAUAUAUUGAACCGCAUGGUUCAAUAGUGAAAGACGGUUUUGCUGUCACUUAUAGAUGAUCCGCGCCGCAUUAGCUAGUUGGUAUGGUAACGGCUUACCAAGGCAACGAUGCGUAGCCGACCUGAGAGGGUGAUCGGCCACACUGGAACUGAGACACGGUCCAGACUCCUACGGGAGGCAGCAGUAGGGAAUCUUCCGCAAUGGGCGAAAGCCUGACGGAGCAACGCCGCGUGAGUGAUGAAGGUCUUCGGAUCGUAAAACUCUGUUAUUAGGGAAGAACAAAUGUGUAAGUAACUAUGCACGUCUUGACGGUACCUAAUCAGAAAGCCACGGCUAACUACGUG